UCCCAGCUGCGUUACUACCAGUUUUCAGAUUGUCUUCCUAGGAAGGAAGAGCUCCGAAUUUUCUCUCAACCGUUCUUGUGGCCAAGAAGCGGGAUGGGGACAAGAGGCCUGGUGACCCCCCAAGCUGAAGUUAAAGAAAACCAGCCUGGCUGUUGUGGCUCAGCAGUUAAAGCACCACCCUGAGCAUCAAAGUGUCCUGGCUUGGAUUCCCAGACCUGGAUGGCUGGUUCAAUGCCCAGGGGCAAAUUAUCCUGCAGUGAGGAUUAACAACACAAACAAACAAGGAAACAAACAAAGAAAAACAGAGGUGAAAAACUGGAGUGGAAAGCUUUAGCCACCUGUGCAGUCUUCCCCAGAAAUGUCAUCUCAAUGAACCAGACUGGAAUUUUCCAGUCAAGCACCAGCACCUCAGGCUCAGCCUCUCCCUAUUAAAACCUUCCAUUCUGUGUGGCCCCUGGGAGUUCUGCUCUAGUUGCUAGAGGGGAUGCUGCCUGGUUCAUGAAUCUUUUAAUAAAGCCAAUUAAAUCUUUA